rnacentral:rRNA from 1 species
GAUGAACGCUGGCGGCGUGCCUAAUACAUGCAAGUCGAGCGAACAGACGAGGAGCUUGCUCCUCUGACGUUAGCGGCGGACGGGUGAGUAACACGUGGAUAACCUACCUAUAAGACUGGGAUAACUUCGGGAAACCGGAGCUAAUACCGGAUAAUAUAUUGAACCGCAUGGUUCAAUAGUGAAAGACGGUUUUGCUGUCACUUAUAGAUGGAUCCGCGCCGGAUUAGCGAGGUGGUAAGGUAACGGCUUACCAAGGCAACGAUGCGUAGCCGACCUGAGAGGGCGACCGGCCACACUGGGACUGAGACACGGCCCAGACUCCUACGGGAGGCAGCAGUGGGGAAUUGUGGACAAUGGGCGCAAGCCUGACGGAGCAAGGCCGCGUGCGGGAAGAAGGCCUUCGGGUUGUAAACCGCUUUUGUACGGAACGAAAAGGUUCUGGCUAAGACCUGGGGCUGAUGACGGUACCUAAAGAAAAAGCACCGGCUAACUACGUG